rnacentral:rRNA from 1 species
AUACGGAGGGGGCUAGCGUUGUUCGGAUUUACUGGGCGUAAAGCGCACGUAGGCGGAUUGAUUAGUUAGGGGUGAAAUCCCGAGGCUCAACCUCGGAACUGCCUCUAAAACUGUCAAUCUCGAGACCGGAAGAGGUGAGUGGAACUCCUAGUGUAGAGGUGGAAUUCGUAGAUAUUAGGAAGAACACCAGUGGCGAAGGCGGCUCACUGGUCCGGUACUGACGCUGAGGUGCGAAAGCGUGGGGAGCGAACAGGAUUAGAAACCCUAGUAGUCC